AGCUUUGCACAGUGGCAGUAUCGUAGCCAAUGAGGUUUAUCCGAGGCGCGAUUAUUGCUAAUAGAAAGUGUCCCCAGCUAUGUCACAAUCUGUAAUUAAAAUACAUUUCUGGUGCGACUGGGGUGAC
rfam:Tupaia chinensis contig216530, whole genome shotgun sequence.